UGGGGGUGGAAUAGAUCUGGACAAGGAGAAGAAGUCUGGAGAUAAAUGUGAGAAGGGAGGGGACAGACAGUAGAAACAAAAGUGAAACUGUUUGAGCAGCAUAUUCUAGAAGUCUUGAGGUCUUUUGAGUGUAGCCUUCGUUGAUUUGAAAUCUACCAUACCAUUCUCUCACUAGAGGGGAAAACCUAUAACGGCAGCAGCCCAUAAAGAGAGACCCAGUUUAGGAAUAUUUUAAUUAAGUUCCUCUACCUGUGGUUAAGAGGCAUGCGUGCAAAAUGCAAACAGUGCAACAAAGAAGUGCAAGACCUGGUUGCCCAAAUGAAAUAACAUUAUGAGAAGUGUUCCUUCUCAGGAGGAAGUUGUGUUGAAGAUAAUGAAAGCAACAUGUCUGAACAUGCAAGAUCUUCAGGAGAAUCCAUCCUCAGAGGAUUCUGAAGACUAUCCAUCAUUUUCUAUAUCACCAUCAUUU